ensembl:snRNA U6 U6 spliceosomal RNA
GUGCUCACUUCAGCAAUACCUGUGUUAAAAUUAGAACCAUACAGAGAAGAGUAGCAUGGCCCCUGCUUAAGGAUGACAUGUAAAUCUGUGAAGUGUUCCAUAUUUUU